GCCAGUGUGGUGUAGUGGUUUGAGUGUUGGAUUACGACUCUGGAGACCAGGGUUCGAUUCACAGCUCAUCCA
rnacentral:tRNA from 1 species